GGGGAGUACGAGACUGGGUCUCCCACGGGCUGCAAACCCGCUGGCCGGUUCUGAUAAAACCGGGGUGGAGUUCGAUUCCCACUACUCCCCUCCA
rnacentral:tRNA from 2 species